GUGCCCGUAGCUCAGCUGGAUAGAGUAUUUGACUACGAAUCAAAGGGUCGCAGGUUCGAAUCCUGCCGGGCACGCCA
rnacentral:tRNA from 4 species